UCAGCAACUUCACCCACAGCAACCAUGACUUUGAUCAGCGUCUUCAUCUGCACACUGGCCCUCUGGACUCAAGGAUCCAGAGGUCAGGUGACUGUGACUCAGACUCCUUCAGUGCAAACUGUUGCUCCAGGAAACACCGUCACCAUCAACUGUAGAACCAGCAGCAGUGUGUAUAGUAAUAACCGUCUCGCCUGGUACCUGCAGAAAUCUGGAGAAGCUCCUAAACUCCUGAUCUACUAUGCUACUAGCUUACAGUCAGGGACUCCAGCUCGUUUCAGUGGCAGUGGAUCUGGUACUGACUUCACUCUGACCAUCAGAGGAGUCCAGACUGAAGAUGCAGGAGAUUACUACUGUCAGAGUUGGCAUCUGAUUAGUAGUAACUGGGUGUACACACAGUGUUAGAGCGUGGUACAAAAACCUGGGUGAGUUAGAGAGCACAGAGAAGCACUGCUGCAGCUGGGAGCGACUGCAGGUGCUGAGGGGGAGGAUGUGAUACAGCACAAUCACACACACACACACACACACACACACACACACACACAUACACACACACACAGACACACACACACACACACACACACACUUUCCUUCAAAUUAAUUAUAUAUUUAAAACUUUUAUCUCAUUUUAAAAACUUAUGGAAAUAUUUUUUAUAUUUAUAUUUUUUGUUAAACACAUGAUUUACCAAAAUAAAUCUUUAAAAUUAAAAGUAUAUUGCUCAGGAAAAUAAUUGAGCAGAGACUGACAUUUAACUGGACAUUUCUUCAUUAUCCCACCAGUAAAGUGAUUUUCUGUAUAGAGUUGUUAAAACACAACACAGUUAAGAAGCUUAGCGUUACAACAACAGUGCAGAUCGUUUGACUAAUCACACAAGGUCUUCAUCAAACUCUGACCAAUCAUACACCGCCCAGUCACACGGAACUAAAGUGCACAUUAAA